UGGGGAAUUUUGGACAAUGGGCGAAAGCCUGAUCCAGCAAUGCCGCGUGUGUGAAGAAGGCCUUCGGGUUGUAAAGCACUUUUGUCCGGAAAGAAAUCCUUGGCUCUAAUACAGUCGGGGGAUGACGGUACCGGAAGAAUAAGCACCGGCUAACUACGUGCCAGCAGCCGCGGUAAUACGUAGGGUGCAAGCGUUAAUCGGAAUUACUGGGCGUAAAGCGUGCGCAGGCGGUUUGCUAAGACCGAUGUGAAAUCCCCGGGCUCAACCUGGGAACUGCAUUGGUGACUGGCAGGCUAGAGUAUGGCAGAGGGGGGUAGAAUUCCACGUGUAGCAGUGAAAUGCGUAGAGAUGUGGAGGAAUACCGAUGGCGAAGGCAGCCCCCUGGGCCAAUACUGACGCUCAUGCACGAAAGCGUGGGGAGCAAACAGGAUUAGAUACCCUGGUAGUCCACGCCU
rnacentral:rRNA from 1 species